rnacentral:tRNA from 1 species
CAAGACGUAGCUUUAAUCAAAGCAUUCAGCUUACACCUGAAAGAUAUCUGUUAACCCCAGGUCGUCUUGA